CUAAGGGGAGUGGCGACCGGCGCACGGGUGAGUAACACGUAUCCAACCUGCCGAUAACUCGGGGAUAGCCUUUCGAAAGAAAGAUUAAUACCCGAUGGUAUAAUCAGACCGCAUGGUUUGAUUAUUAAAGAAUUUCGGUUAUCGAUGGGGAUGCGUUCCAUUAGGCAGUUGGUGAGGUAACGGCUCACCAAACCUUCGAUGGAUAGGGGUUCUGAGAGGAAGGUCCCCCACAUUGGAACUGAGACACGGUCCAA
rnacentral:rRNA from 1 species